AUACGUAGGGUGCGAGCGUUGUCCGGAUUUAUUGGGCGUAAAGGGCUCGUAGGUGGUUGAUCGCGUCGGAAGUGCAAUCUUGGGGCUUAACCCUGAGCGUGCUUUCGAUACGGGUUGACUUGAGGAAGGUAGGGGAGAAUGGAAUUCCUGGUGGAGCGGUGGAAUGCGCAGAUAUCAGGAGGAACACCAGUGGCGAAGGCGGUUCCCUGGGCCUUUCCUGACGCUGAGGAGCGAAAGCGGGGUGAGCGAACAGGCUUAGAUACCCUGGUAGUCCACGCUGUAAACGGUGGGUACUAGGUGUGGGGUCCAUUCCACGGGUUCCGUGCCGUAGCUAACGCUUUAAGUACCCCGCCUGGGGAGUACGGCCGCAAGGCUAAAACUUAAAGGAAUUGACGGGG
rnacentral:rRNA from 1 species